ACGACAUCUUAAAGAGACAUGUGGUCGUAAUAUGCGAGAGCGGACAGCGUUAUGUGGGGCGACACACCACAGGACAUUAUCACCGAUACCCAUCUUUUUGGAUUUUAGCAUCAAUCUGACUUACCUUGCUUUUUGAAAGUUGUGGAGGUGUAAACCUAACCGCCAAAGUUCGUAGAGGGUCGUUAGAAAACCUUACGUCGGAUACAGCGCUGACGUGGUUUGAGUUUGAGUCGCCUUCUCGUUGUUGCUGUCGACUCGGCUGUUUGUCCGUGUCUGUCUUUCUUCCACCGUGUCAACAGCACCACUACACAUCACGUCACUUCUCGUAGUCUCGUAGGAUCCGUGACAAAUCAAGCUUUUGGUACGAUUGCAUAACAAGCGAUCCUCUCGUGCCAUUGUAAGCAGACUUGCAUCACGGAGUUAUUUGAGUUGGCAUUUCCCAAGAAAGAACCGUCAGUUGGCCGCUUGUCUUGGUUGUUAUUGCUGAUGACAAUUAAGGCAUCAGAAUAUGUCAAGAACUUUUAUUGGCUCUUGAACCAGCGCUUCAGCGUAUCUUUUUAUUACCAUGCAUUAUAAUUUGUUGGACUUUCAAGUUGUUGACUGACAAUAUAAAAUUGUUGCGUUCCAAUAACCCUUCUUCUUAUCUUUAUCGGCUUUCUGUUCGUUAUGAAAAAGGAAAAAUAAUUGG